UCCUAUAUAAUGAGUUUCCAAUUGCAAUUUGUGUGUGUGUGUGUGUGUGUGUGUGUGUGUGUGUGUGUGUGUUGGACCCUGAGGCAGCCCAGGGUGCUCUCAAGCCAGCUGCCACUGUUCAAAACAGACAGGAAACAGCUUCCACUAACACGACUGCAAUAUGGAAAGCAGCGACCUCCUUGAUGCACCCCAUGGCAUGAUUCUAAUAUCCCCCCUCACUCUUCACGCACACACUUACAUACAUGCAUAAAUGCAGGAUUAAAUGGUUUAAUAUCUUAUCCAGUUGUGUCAUUUAUAUUUUCAAUAAGAUCAUAUGGUUGAUAUUUUGGAGAUCAUUCAUAGGACCUUGACCCGUUUCAGCAGUAGCCCAGGAGCAUUUGGGAACGUGUGCCUGGAGUGCGAUAGAGAGAGACUUGAUUUCCCUGUGCUGUAGAGAUGCUUUGUUUCACUGUAAAUGUGUGUGUGUGUGUGUGUGUGUGUGAAUGCAUAUCUAUUAUCCUUCUGAGAAAUACAGAGCCGCUCGGCUCCCACACUGGCCUCUGAUCAUCGCCCUGUAAAUGCAGCCUGUCACCUUCAGUGGUGUAAUGAUCACAGAAACAGUGACCUUGAUCUAUGGCAAGCCAUAACGGAGAAGAGAGAGCGUCUCCCACACUCCGCACUCAGAUAUAACAGUGAUACAGGGGAAGCCAAAGGAGGGUUCAGAACAGGGCCAUUUGAUUGGCAAUAAAGGUUGUUGGAGUGUCUGUAAUGGAUGUGAGAUCUCUCCUGUUAUCAUCCAUUUGGAUAGGGCAUCGACUGAAGACGACGUGAUUCCAGAUUGAAAACUCAGGGAGUGGCUGAUUAUGGUUUUAUUGCAUAGUCCAUUACACUGGUCAACACUACACACUGUUUCUCAAAGCAGAGGCUGUGGUGGAUUAAUGGGGCAGCGCUUCUGUUCUCUCCAGCCCCCUCGGACAUACGCACCUUUCCUUCCCUUCAGCAAGGCUUUUUGAAUAUGUCCCAGUUCUUGCCACAUUUAGCUUUAAAUAAGUUUCACCCUCCCUUCUUCUUGAAAGAAGGGCGCAGUGGGUUCAUGCACCCUGUGAGUUCAGCACUCAUCAUUUAUCAUCCCUCUUUUUUUUUUGGAAACGAUGAACAAUAUUAUGUCAUAGACUCCUCUUGUGAUGGAAACUAUAUGUACAUCUUAAACUAUGUGAGAAAUGAACAUUUUGUUUUAAUAAAAGCUGUAUAACAUUUGAUAAAGGGAUAGUUCAGCCAUAAUUCAAAUUGUCAUCAUUUACUCACCCCCAUGCCAUUCCAAACCUGUAUGUAUAUUUUGUGUUUUUUUUGUUUGUCUGUUUGUCAAUACAGUGUAAAUCAAUGUCAUCCAGUGUUUAUUUGGACCUCAUUUACUUGCAAUGUAUAUACAAAAACAUUUGAAACAUUCUUCAAAAUAUCUUGUGGUUCCAUUCCAGCCUCUCACUCUCUCUGUAAACUGCACUGUACAAACAAAGGCAAAAAUAAAUAUAUAUAAAAAUGAUUUCAAUGAAUAUAAUCAAUUAUUUAUCUUUUAUAUUCCACAGAAGAAAGUCAAAUGGGUUUGGAACAACACGAGGGUUCCUUUGAUGCGUUCGGGUGUACGGGGGUAACGGGCAGCCUAUUGGAGCAUGGCAGACCACCUGAGAGUUGUUUUCUGGACUCUGGGAGGUCACCUGACACCAGUGCUCCGGAGAAGGUGCACAGCACUGGAUUUCACAUGAAAGAAAGGUUUGGAAUGACAUGAGGGUGAGUAAAUGAUGGGAGAAUUUUCAUAUCUUUAAUAUAUUUUAAUAGCUGUUAAGGCAUCUCAAAUGAAAUAUGAGAUUGGAGAAUACUAUAAUUGCAUUCUCUCUGAAAUGAAGGAAGGCUCAAGCAGGAUGUUCUGUAGGUGAAAUUCAAUACGGGCAAACCAUUUUAGCCAUCGUAGGAGUGAGGUGACGAAUCAUUUCUGUUCUGAAUGGAUGAUUCAGAGCCAGAGGUGAAUCAUACAGGGGUUUGUUUGUAUCUGUGCCUUUGAUCCCCCUCUGAUAGUCUCUACACCGCACAACAUCUGUCACGCCGCAUGCCACAUUCGCUCACAUAGAGCUUUAGGUGAUGCUAGUGUAUGGUUAUUCCUGCCACACGGUCCACAUGGGCAUCCCCAACGCCAGUGCUCAUUAGCAGGCAGGUGGCGUUAGAGUUUCGACUGGGGCAGAGACAAGAAAUAGAACCUGGCAAACUGGGUUGUACGUCCGCAUUGGGUAAUCCCCGCCAGAUUGCCAGGAUAUCAGAAGUGACAUCACAAAGCCAACAAAAAUUAGCAUCCCUAAUGGUCUGCCAGGCCAAACAUUAUUCUUCAUGAUGAGAAGCAGUCAUGCCUGCCCAGGGCUCCUGAUGAUUUGGCCAAAAGCAGUGGAGGCCCCUAAGAUCUCAGCUCCAGCCAAAACCAACAGGCUCUAUUCUCCAACUCAUGAAGACUGGUUGUACAUUACCCCAAAGGAAGUUCCUGUGAAAAACCAUCAUAUACUGCUGAUGCCUUCAGAUUCCAGAAGAUCCUUGGAAAUAUCCUUCAAAUGAGACUCUCACCUGGCACUUGACUACCAGUGAAAAAAACACCUUGACUAGAUUUAAAACCAAGAAAGAUCAAUGAGAGGAGAGGGGGAGAGUGGCAGAUUUAAUUAAUUACUGCACAUUAGAAUGUUUGUUUACAAAAGUGAACAGUUACAAGGGGCCUGAUGGUAAUUAAUUUAAAACGUACUUCCCCCUGUCCCUGCCUCGCGUCUGCAGCAGACAUGGUAGUUUCAUGGCAGGUAAGCCUGCGUCUCAUUGGAUUUCCAUCAAUUGCUCAAAGGUGUGUUUGAAAACAAAGAUGCAUGGUACACAAAUUAGCCUGAAUGUUAACAUGAUUGCAUAUUAAGAAAUCUAAUUAGUAUUCCAAGGAAUCAAAAGGGAAGAGCUGCAUGAUGUUAUGAUAUUGCAUAUCUAAGAGGAAAGUUUCACCAUUUUAUUUUUCAUUCUCUAUAAUAUUUAAAUGUAACUUAAGAUUUUAAAUAGAUCUGUAAAAAAUUUUUUUCUUUGUGACGAUGACUUUAUUUCAUCAACAAUGUCACUGUGGUUGCAUGUGUGUAUGUUUUCAUCUGUGGUCAGGAGGUCUCUCGAGGUCCCCCUCCAGGACAAUGAUGUAUUUAAGUCCCCUAAGAGGUCAGAUGGACUCUGUCCAGAACAUCACCUGCAAUCAAUAGUGUUGGUAAACCAGGCUCAACUGAGUGGCCAUGAAGACUCCCCUUAUAAACACGCUCACAGAGAGGCCGGCAUGGCCCAUUGCUUUGCUAAAACCGCAACCAACAUCCUGACACACACACACACAACACAUGCCACCACUCUGAAAACAAGUGUUGAUGACAAAGAGAAGAAAAAUAACAGCACCUCAGCGCAAUACCCUUUGCAUUCAUCUUCACUCUGUCAUAGCAAAGGUUGCGCAUUCUCCUUAACGCACAGGUGAAUUGGGUGCACUGCUUCAAUCAAGGCUUCACUAUUGGGUUUGAGAGUCAUCUGAGCCCAGACAACAAAAGCAAACGCUACAGUGAGUGUCUCUACUGUAAGUGGCUUUUGAAGAAUUGGCACAGUCAUCUGGCGAACACCUCACAUCUCUCACAAACAAAUGAAGGCCUGGUGCUUCAAAGUGAGAUUGAUAUCUCUCUCUGAACUUCAACCAGAAUAUUCUGAAUAUUGAGAGAGGUGCACUCCUCCCACGGGACCGCCGAGGCGCCUCUCUCCUCCCUCGUUCCGCCAAAGAGGGGAAAAAAGAUUGCCCCUGUAGAUCUUCCAUGUUCAUCAAUAUUCACUCAUUCAUCGUGAGCCAUGGCAGCUGAAAUUUGGCCUAGUAUUGCUGAAUGGAUGACCCAGGGAUCCACUUUGCUGCUAUGAGGUUGUCUGGAAUUAAAACAGAACAAUACACAAUUUUUAUGAACUUCAGAGUCGUCUAUAUAUUUUACGUUGUGACAGAAAACUUUUCAAUUUGCUCUGCAAGUUCUUAAGAGUACCCAGCCAUUUAAUAAGAUUAGAAUAGAUGUAGAAUGGAUGUAUAUGCUUUGUUCUGCUUUCUGACUGUUUGCCAAAUAUACAUUUUUUUUUCCUUUUGUUUUUUACUUGGAAAUAUUUUUCAAAUACAAUGGAGAAGGAAACUACUGCUAUAAUUCAAUGUAAAUGUAAACCAUUAUGUAUUAUUUACACCAAAUUUAAGCUGUAUAGUAUAUAAAACUGUAUAGUACAGUAUUGAAUUACUGUUAUUAAAGAGGUCCUUGAUUAUGAUUUCACUUUUUUAACUUUAGUUAGUGUGUAAUGUUGCUGUUUGAGUAUAAACAACAUCUGCAAAGUUAUGAUGCCCAAAAUUCAAUGCAAAGGGAGAUAUUUUCUUUUACAGAAAUUUCUUUUUAAGGACUACAACAAAAGGCUGGUAGGGACUACAACAAGCUUCUUCCCGGUUUGGUGAUGUCAUGCCCCCGGAAACAUGCAACAAAGGGGGCGAGGCCAUGAGAAGAGGAAGAGUUGGUGGAUUUGCACAAAAGAUUAACAUGACGGCACAUGUUGAUGAGUUGAAUCAAUUCCACAGCAACUAAAUUAUAAAUGUAUCCACUAACCAUUCAGAAACAUCCAUAUGCAUUCUAAAAUUUGAAACUUCUUCCUGAGUCUCUCCAUCAGUGUCCAACUCCGGUUUGAACAAUGUAAGGCUAAACACCGUUCUUGACAAUCGUCAUUUUGGCUGCAUGAGAUUCUCCAGCUUUGUUGUUGUUGAGCAACCAUGAAGCGUGAGCUGUUAAAGCUCCACCCUCUUUUGGAAAGGGGGCGGGGAGCAGCAGCUCAUUUCCAUUUAAAGGGGGACACACACAAACGGCGUGUUUUUGCUCACACCCAAAUAGGGGCAAAUUUGAAAAGCUAUAAUAAAUGAUCUAUGGGGUAUUUUGAGCUGAAACUUCACAGACACAUUCUGGGGACAAUAGAGACUUAUAUUACAUCUUGUGAAAAAGGGGCAUAAUAGGUCCCCUUUAAACUAAACCUUGCAAAAUGUACAAAUUCCUUUGCAGUUUCAAUGUGCAUGUAGAGAAUGUAGCAUAUAUUCUAUGUACCAUUUUAAAUGACAACACAAAUGAUCAAACUACAUUUCUUUAGUAUAUAAAACAUCCACCAAAAAAAUGAAUACAAGCAAAAUGCAUUGGCACACAUUCAGGUUUGCUUCUAUGUUAGUAUCUCCACAGCUGUAUGUCUCUAUCAGUGCAUUUUUCAGAGAACUCCUUAGUAGCCAAAUGAAGAGGCAAACACAGAUGAUGAUGAUGAUGGUCAUGACAUACAUCGUUGAACCACUUCAAGAGGAAUACGAGCUUAAGAUUGAAUCCUGCGAAUCCAUACUCCAGGUAAAACACCACAUUUUAAAUUCCAGGUAAAUUUCCAUGUGAAAAUUACUAUGCAUUCACUAGUACUAAAUGUAUUAUUAAAUCACAACCGUUGAUUUUCCAGAAUGCAAUGUCUACAUGCGUGCAUGUUAUAAUCUUGGUAACGGACAACAAAAACUACUCUAUAAUGAUCUCCCCUCAGAGGUAAAUCAAUAAUUGCAGAGCUACAAAAGAGUGUUUUGUCCUAAAAUGGUAAUUAGCAUGGGUCUUGACCUCCCUCAUGGCAUCUCUCAGUCGCCCAUCUGAGAGCCAGGGCAUGUCCAGAGCUGACACUUAAUGACGCUAACAUUACACACUCGCUGAACAUUGUCGGGCUUUUGUCUUCAUUCACAUCGAAAUGAAGUUCUUGGGGCCCACGUUUAUCAAUCAUGGUGGGGCUCCAGCUGUUCGCCAGUCUUUGGCCCGACUUCAACAGCCGCGCUUACAAAUUGUCUCUGAAUAGUGUGGAGCUCUGCCUCCCCACCCUUCCACCCCCUUUUUGUCACUGUCUCCUGACAAAUGUUCCACUGCAGCUUUUCCCAGACAUGGCCGACCCUACCUUCUGCUCCUCGCCAUUCAGAGGGGGGUUCUGGCCUCAUGUUCCUCUCACAAGAUGAGCAUGGUAAUCUACAAUGGUAGCCAUUCAGACUGUUACUUAAAUGCGUAGUGUUAUGAUGUUGUGGCGUGAUUUUUGUCUUGGGCAUCAAGAAUGACGUCGAAAGAGAACAUAAGUCAUCUUUAUUAAUA